rnacentral:sRNA from 1 species
CUCUAGCCCCGAUGGCAGCGGCAUCCUUUGCUUUUUUACAGAAAAAGCAAAGAUAUAGCGGACAGCGGGACUUUGA